AUUUGAUCCUGGUCCAGGAUGAACGCUGGCGGCGUGGAUAAGGCAUGCAAGUCAAGGGGGUCAAAUUGAGAUUAUAUCAAAGUUUGGCAACCGGCGAACGAGUUAGUAACACCUUGGUACAUACCCUAAAGUUGGACAUAGCUCCGCGAAAGCGGAGGUAAUUUCCAAUAGCACCGCAAGGUUAAAGUCGCAAGACGCUUUAGGAUUGGCCUAGGUCUGAUCAGCUAGUUGGUGAGGUAACGGCUCACCAAGGCUAUGACCAGUAGGGGGGCUGAGAGGCUGAUCCCCAACGACGGCACUGAGAUACGGGCCGUACACCUACGGGUGGCAGCAGUCGAGAAUAUUUGACAAUGGACGCAAGUCUGAUCAAGCGACGCCGCGUGAAGGAAGAAGGUCUUCGGAUUGUAAACUUCUUUUCUACAGGAAAAACCCAGCACCUUUUUCGUGCUAUAAUUUCUUCUAUGUUUUACGUAUAUGUAAUCCAAAGUCACAAAACGAAAGAUUUGUACUUUGGAAUAACAUCAGAUUUCGACAAGAGAUUAGAAUCUCAUAAUCAAGGUAAGAACCAAUCUACAAAAUUUGGCGUACCUUGGGAGUUUGUAUACAUAGAAAGUUAUAGAUCAGAAAAAGAUGCGAGAGUUCGUGAACGAAAGUUAAAACAUUAUGGCAAUGCGCGAACUUAUGUAAAGAGACGAAUUAAAAAUAGUCUUUUGUAGCACGAAAAAGGUGCUGGGUGAUGGUACUGUAGGAAUAAGGAGCUGCUAACCUCGUGCCAGCAGCCGCGGUAAGACGAGGGCUCCAAGCGUUAUCCGGAUUUAUUGGGCGUAAAGAGUGCGUAGGAGGAUUUUUAAGUUUGCUGUAAAAUCUCGGGGCUUAACUUCGAGGCUGCAGCAAAUACUGAAAAUCUAGAGUGUGUAAGAGGCUGAUAGAACUCACGGUGUAGGGGUGAAAUCCGUUGAUAUCGUGGGGAAUACCAAAGGCGAAGGCAUUCAGCUGGUGCAUUACUGACUCUCAUUGCACGAAAGCGUGGGGAGCAAAAAGGAUUAGAUACCCUUGUAGUCCACGCCCUAAACUAUGUCAACUGGCUAUUUCGAGUAUCGACCCUCGGAGUGGCGAAGCUAACGCGUUAAGUUGACCGCCUGGGAAGUACGGCCGCAAGGCUAAAACUCAAAGGAAUAGACGGGGACUCGCACAAGCGGUGGAGCAUGAGGUUCAAUUCGACGGUAAACGAGGAACCUUACCAGGGUUAGAAAUCCAGACGAAGUCCCGCAGAAACGCGGGAUGUCUCUCAAGGACGGCUGGACAGGUGCUGCAUGGUUGUCGUCAGCUCGUGUUUUGAAAUGUUCCCUUAAGUGGGGUAACGAGCGCAACCCUUACCUGAUGUUAUAUGUGUCAUCGGGAACUGCCCUCUUUUUGGGGGAGGAAGGCGGGGAUGACGUCAAAUCCGCAUGGCCCUCUGAUACCCUGGGCUACACUCGUGCUACAAUGGCCAAUACAAUGGGUUGCCAAGCCGCAAGGCGGAGCUAAUCCCACCAAAAAUGGCCCCAGUUCAGAUUGGAGGCUGCAACUCGCCUCCAUGAAGUCGGAAUCGCUAGUAAUCGCGGAUCAGCUAUGCCGCGGUGAAUACGUUCUCGAGUCCUGUACUCACCGCCCGUCACUGCAGGGGAGCCGGGAAUACCUAAAGUUUCAUUUUAUGGAAUAAGGGUAGAUUCGGUGACAUGGCAGAAGUCGUAACAAGGCACGCGUAGCGGAAGCUGUGCGUGGAUUAAUUAAACA
rfam:Candidatus Zambryskibacteria bacterium RIFCSPLOWO2_01_FTLL_45_43 rifcsplowo2_01_scaffold_13079, whole genome shotgun sequence.